UCAAGUUGCAUUACUUAAGAUCCACUCCCCUAAAACCUUCUAGAUAUCAGAUAAGGAGUGCCUCUCGCUUAGUUGGUCAGUUUCAGUGUCAGGAUAACCUUGUUAUGCAAUUUUCUUGCUGGGAAGAGUAUAGCUGUUUGCAGCUUAUCUAGGUCAAAAUUUGAAUUUAACUGAUGGACAAGAAGUGCGCGUCUCCUUGCUGUUCAUAUUUAAUGUGUUUUCAAGCAAUAUACACAAGGAUUAAGGCUGGAAUAUCAAUUUCUGCUCAUUCGUCGUAAGGUUAAAUCAACCAGUGGUGCAGGGAAUUGAUUGUAUAGUCAGCCUUGAUUGCAUCAGAUUCUUCGCCCGUGAAAAUUAUACAAAGGAAUGCAAAAUUUUGCUUUUGCUUUAGAGGGUGGAUUCUCCUGUUCAUUUCUUUCAUUCGUGGGACUUAAUUAUAUGCGUGAUUAAAGUCAAUGGAUCCGCCACUUUGUGGAACUUAGUAGUGUAAGGCAGACGCGUACUUUGAAGGACCUGGAUGUGAUUACUGUGACCCACUUUUCGCUAGGAAUAUAAAUUUUUGUCAAGCAGUGAUUUUUGAGAUUCAGUGAUUGAAUCCGAAUUUGUGUUUGUCUUUAAAAUACAUGUAAAAUAAAUUCUCUCACAAUCAUUAUACUGGAUUACAACUUAUCUAAAUAUUACGCAACUUGAAUAAAUUUUUUUAUUAGAAUUUGAAAUGUAUUAGUUUAUGAAGCAAAAUGUAAUAUGAAUUCAACAUGAUUUCAACCAAAUAUCAACGUUUGUACAACCGAAAAAUUUCAACCAAAUCUCAACCUAAUUUCAACCAAUGUUCACUUUUGUUCAAUGUUGAUAUUUGACGUUGAAACAACGU